rnacentral:misc_RNA from 1 species
GAUGAAGAACGUAGUGAAAUGCGAUAAGUAGUGUGAAUUGCAGAAUUCAGUGAAUCAUCGAAUCUUUGAACGCACAUUGCGCCCCUUGGUAUCCCGAGGGGCAUGCCUGUUCGAGCGUCAUUUCACCACUCAAGCCUGGCUUGGUGUUGGGCGACGUCCUCUUUGGGGACGCGCCUCGAAACGCUCGGCGGCGUGGCACCGGCUUUAAGCGUAGCAGAAUCUUUCGCUUUGGAAGUCGGGGCCCCGUCUGCCGGAAGACCUGCUCGCAAGGUUGACCUCGGAUCAGGCAGGGAUACCCGCUGAACUUAAGCAUAUCAAUAAGCGAGGA